rnacentral:lncRNA from 1 species
CGCGUUAAUGGUUUCUUGAACACGAGUAUCGAAUUCUUCCUUUUUCUUCUUUUCUCUUUCUUCUUUUGUUUGGCGAUUUAUUUUGGCCUUGGAUUUCUUCGGCAUCAAUGAAUCGUUCCCCGGUCUCAUUCCGAGAAUACGUCCUUUCGUCUUGCCUCCUGAAGCCCUAAUCCAAACUUCCAAACUAUCAUCAAUGAAUAGCGGCCUUUUUCGCUUGUAGGAUGUCGAUCCUUGCGUCGACAUUUCUUCUUUGUCUGUUGACUCCUCCUCCUCGUCUUCAUUUACUAAUUGUUGUUUAUCGAAAUGUUCCUUUUUGUACGUUUCAUAAUCCGAC